GGGCGGAAUAGCUCAGUUUGGCAGAGCACUGGUUCACCACCAGAGGUCGCAGGUUCAAAUCCUGCUUCCCCCU
rnacentral:tRNA from 1 species